GACGAACGCUGGCGGCGUGCUUAACACAUGCAAGUCGAACGGAAAGGCCCUGCUUUUGUGGGGUGCUCGAGUGGCGAACGGGUGAGUAACACGUGAGUAACCUGCCCUUGACUUUGUGAUAACUUCAGGAAACUGGGGCUAAUACCGGAUAGGAGCUCCUGCUGCAUGGUGGGGGUUGGAAAGUUUCGGCGGUUGGGGAUGGACUCGCGGCUUAUCAGCUUGUUGGUGGGGUAGUGGCUUACCAAGGCUUUGACGGGUAGCCGGCCUGAGAGGGUGACCGGCCACAGUGGGACUGAGAUACGGCCCAGACUCCUACGGGAGGCAGCAGUGGGGAAUAUUGCACAAUGGGCGGAAGCCUGAUGCAGCAACGCCGCGUGCGGGAUGACGGCCUUCGGGUUGUAAACCGCUUUCGCCUGUGACGAAGCGUGAGUGACGGUAAUGGGUAAAGAAGCACCGGCUAACUACGUG
rnacentral:rRNA from 1 species